rnacentral:lncRNA from 1 species
UGUCGGGCGUCUGUGCAGAACCGUCUGGAGCAGAUGUCGCCCCAAAGCCUCAUGCUGAUAUGGUAAGACUUUCUUUUUCAGAGAUAGUUUAAUCUGGAAUGUGUGAUGCUGAGAUUAAGGGUGUGUGAUUACUAAACCACUACAUGUGAUUGAUUAGUUUGGCACCGCCCUAAUCCCGGUAGUCUGAAUAAGAUAAAAGGGGUGGAAAGAUGCUGGUAACUGUCUCUUGUUACCCUUGCUAUUUGUGUGUGCCAUGUUGUUUCUGCUCUGCCAUACCUGUUUGUCAUCCCUGCCUUGGAGUCGGCCGAUUAUGGGCUGAAACCACUAUGAAAUGUAAGCCAAAUAAACCCCUUCCCCUCUAACUUUGGGUGUUGGGUAUUUUGUCUCAGCAACAAGAGAAAAGUAACUAACACAGGCUCCUAAGCAGAAUAAGGAAAAGGAACACCAAGAGAUGGAAAGGAAUAUGAUACUAACAUCUGACUUUCAACAGCAAUAAUGGGAGCACUGAAAAUAAUAGUAGCUUGAAAUAAUAACAUUCAUGUGACAAGAGAAAAAUCUAUCUAGAAUUAUAUACUUAGCAAAAUAAUUUUUCAAGCAUGAAAACAAUACUUUUCAGAUCAACAAAAGCUAAGAAUUACUACCACCAGAAUUUAACUGAAUGAUUUUCUGGAAGGUAUACUUCAGAAGCUGGAUAUGGUCUUACACUUCAGUAAUCCCAACUACCUAGGAACUGAAGCAAGAGGAUUACUUGAGUUUACAAGUUCUAGACCAGCCUGGGCAACAUAUUGAGAACACAGAAAAAGAAGGAGAAGGAGCUAUAAUUCAGGAAGAAAUAAAAUUAUCUCAGGAGGAAGUUCUGAGGAAAAAUAAGAUUGGCGAGAAAAUAAAGUGGCAAAUAUGAAUAAAUGUAAACAAAUAUCAAGGGCAAAAUAACAGUUUAUCAUGUGUGGGGUUAAAAAAAGGUAAAACCAAAUAAUGGAACAAAGACAUAAAAUAUAAAAAGAUUACUGAAGUUAAAGCAUUAUAACAGUAGGUGUCAGUAAUCUAUUGCAAAGCAAAUAGCUAUAAAACCUUAAAGACGUACAACUACAUUUGUUUAUUGCUCAUACAUCUGAAGUCUGCUUGGAGUAUGUUAGGAAACUCUCCUGUGCUUAGCUAAGCUCACUUAUUAUGUCCAGGAUCAGAUGAUCUAGGACAGACUUUUCUGGGAGUCUUAACUGCUCUGGGUCACUUAGUCACCAGCUGGGUUCCCUGGCCAAGUCCUUAAGUCAUUGGCAGAGAUGCAAAAGGGAAUAAACAAAUGCACAAGCACAUUUUAAGGCUCUUCUUCCAUCUCACUGACCAGAGCAAAUCACAUGGCUGAGGGCAGAGUGAUAGUAGAAUAGAACUAUGAAGGUUUAUAGCAAAAGG